AUACUCACAUCUUACCGCAUCAAUGCAGCCUACUACCGAAGCAUAACAUGUAUUACCUACAUAUUUUGCAAACAACUCAGGUUGGUGACAUUGGUCCAGGGCAAGCUGAGUAAGUUGUAGUUUUCUGAUGCUAUCCCCUUUGGUUGCUGCUAUUAUCUUGGAAUCCUGACUACUACACUGAUGUCUAUGGAGGCUCCUGCAAGAACCUGGAAUCCACUGCAGAAAUUUUUCACACUGAGUGGGAUAAUGCCUUAUUUCCACAGCCUGCGCUAGUAACAGUUGGGGGAAAUGACAGAACAUGACGAGGGUAGCAAUAGAGAUCAGUUGUACUUUUAUGAUGCUGUCCCCCAUAUAAUGAUUCCCAUAGGUCGUGC